UAACUACUGGAAACGGUGGCUAAUACCGCAUAACGUCGCAAGACCAAAGAGGGGGACCUUCGGGCCUCUUGCCAUCAGAUGUGCCCAGAUGGGAUUAGCUAGUUGGUGAGGUAACGGCUCACCAAGGCGACGAUCCCUAGCUGGUCUGAGAGGAUGACCAGCCACACUGGAACUGAGACACGGUCCAGACUCCUACGGGAG
rnacentral:rRNA from 1 species